rnacentral:rRNA from 1 species
GAUGGUAGGAUAGAGGCCUACCAUGGUUUCAACGGGUAACGGGGAAUAAGGGUUCGAUUCCGGAGAGGGAGCCUGAGAAACGGCUACCACAUCCAAGGAUGGCAGCAGGCGCGCAAAUUACCCAAUCCCGACACGGGGAGGUAGUGACAAUAAAUAACAAUACGGGGUUCUUUCGGAUCUCGUAAUUGGAAUGAGUACAAUUUAAAUCUCUUAACGAGGAACAAUUGGAGGGCAAGUCUGGUGCCAGCAGCCGCGGUAAUUCCAGCUCCAAUAGCGUAUAUUAAAGUUGUUGCAGUUAAAAAGCUCGUAGUUGAAUUUCGGGAUCAAUAUGUUGGUCGUGCCUUGGUACGUACUGGCGUCAUUGGUUUCUACCUUCUGAAGAACCUCGAUGUCAUUAAUUUGGUGUCUUGGGGAAUCAGGACUGUUACUUUGAAAAAAUUAGAGCGUUUAAAGCAGGCUCACGCUUGAAUACAUUAGCAUGGAAUAAUGAAAUAGGACGUUUGAUUCUAUUUUGUUGGUUUCUAGGAUCGACGUAAUGAUUAAUAGGGAUAGUUGGGGGCAUUAGUAUUCAAUUGUCAGAGGUGAAAUUCUUGGAUUUAUUGGAGACUAACUACUGCGAAAGCAUUUGCCAAGGAUGUUUUCAUUAAUCAAGAACGAAAGUUAGGGGAUCGAAGACGAUCAGAUACCGUCGUAGUCUUAACCAUAAACUAUGCCGACUAGGGAUCGGAUGAUGUUAAUUUUUUAAUGACUCAUUCGGCGCCUUACGGGAAACCAAAGUGUUUGGGUUC